GAAACUGUAAAAUAAAGGCCAGACAACAUUAAAUAAGGCACGGUGGAGGCCACCGUAGCGCAGAGGUUAGCAUGUCCGCCUAUGACGCUGAGCGCCUGGGUUCGAAUCCUGGCGAGACAAUUAGAAAAAAAUUUCAGUGGUGGUUUUCCUAAUGCGGGCAACAUUUGUGAGGGAAUCAUCAUGAUAAAGAUUAUCAAGACUACACUUAACACAUGGUUCUUCAUUAAACUGGACGGGUAUGACUGCAGAUCAUUUCUAACGAAGUUUUUUUCUAGGUUUUAAAAUACUGUAUUCAACCAGUUGCGAAAAGUCAAUAUGGAAUUAUCUUCAUCAUCAACACAUCUUAAUGAUAGUAAUCAACAUGAACUUAUGGCAUUGAUACAAAAUGGCAAACUGUUUUACAGGUCAGCAUGUGUUGAAAAUUCAGCAAAACCUCGUCAUUGUCGUGAGUAAGCCUCUUAAUUUUGAUUCUUGUUGGACAUAUUCAGG